GAUGAACGCUGGCGGCGUGCCUAAUACAUGCAAGUCGAGCGAACAGACGAGGAGCUUGCUCCUCUGACGUUAGCGGCGGACGGGUGAGUAACACGUGGAUAACCUACCUAUAAGACUGGGAUAACUUCGGGAAACCGGAGCUAAUACCGGAUAAUAUAUUGAACCGCAUGGUUCAAUAGUGAAAGACGGUUUUGCUGUCACUUAUAGAUGGAUCCGCGCCGCAUUAGCUAGUUGGUAAGGUAACGGCUUACCAAGGCAACGAUGCGUAGCCGACCUGAGAGGGGGAUCGGCCACACUGGAACUGAGACACGGCCCAGACCCCUAGGGGGGGCAGAAGUAGGGAAUCUUCCGAAAUGGGCGAAAGCCUGACGGAGCAACGCCGCGUGAGUGAUGAAGGUCUUCGGAUCGUAAAACCCUGUUAUUAGGGAAGAACAAAUGUGUAAGUAACGAUGCACGUCUUGACGGUACCUAACCAGAAAGCCCCGGCUAACUACGU
rnacentral:rRNA from 1 species